GACGAACGCUCGGCGGCGUGCUUAACACAUGCAAGUCUACGAGAAAAAGGUAGCAAUAUCUUGAGUAAAGUGGCGCACGGGUGAGUAAUAUAUAAGUAAUCUACCUAUGGAUUCGGAAUAAUCUCGCGAAAGCGGGACUAAUACCGUAUGAUGCAGCGGCACCGCAUGGUGAUGUUGUUAAAGUUGCAGCAAUGUAACGUCUAUAGAUGAGCUUGUAUCUGAUUAGCUAGUUGGCGGGAUAACAGCCCACCAAGGCUACGAUCAGUAGCUGGUCUGAGAGGAUGAUCAGCCACACUGGAACUGAGACACGGUCCAGACUCCUACGGGAGGCAGCAGUGAGGAAUAUUGGGCAAUGCCCGCAAGGGUGACCCAGCAACGCCGCGUGGAGGAUGAAUGUCGUAAGAUUGUAAACUCCUGUGAGAAGGGAUGAAAAUGUGAGUUUCGUAAGGGGCUCAUUUUGACCGUACCUUCAGAGGAAACCCCGGCUAACUACGUGCCAGCAGCCGCGGUAAUACGUAGGGGGUAAGCGUUGUCCGGAUUUACUGGGUGUAAAGGGCGCGUAGGCGGAUCUGUAAGUCAGUGGUGAAAUCCUACAGCUUAACUGU
rnacentral:rRNA from 1 species